AACGUAGGAGACAAACGUUAUCCGGAGUUACUGGGCGUAAAGGGCGUGUAGGUGGUUUCGUAAGUCUGGCGUGAAAUAUCUCGGCUUAACCGAGGCAGGUCGUCGGAUACUGUCGGGCUAGAGUCCGGAAGAGGCGAGUGGAAUUCCCGGUGUAGCGGUGAAAUGCGCAGAUAUCGGGAGGAACACCGGUGGCGAAGGCGGCGACCUGGGUAGAUACUGACGCUGAGGUGCGAAAGCGUGGGGAGCAAACAGGG
rnacentral:rRNA from 1 species